CGUGCUUAACACAUGCAAGUUGAACGAGAGGUAGUAGCAAUACUAUAGUAAAGUAGCAGACGGGUGAGUAACACGUGGGAAACUUCCAUUUAGUAAAGAAUAGCCCAGGGAAACUUGGAUUAAUACUUUAUACGCCCUACGGGGAAAGAUUUAUCGCUAAAUGAUGUGCCCGCGUUAGAUUAGGUAGUUGGUGGGGUAAUGGCCUACCAAGCCUACGAUCUAUAGCUGGUCUGAGAGGAUGAUCAGCCACACUGGGACUGAGACACGGCCCAGACUCCUACGGGAGGCAGCAGUGGGGAAUAUUGGACAAUGGGCGCAAGCCUGAUCCAGCAACGCCGCGUGAAUGAUGAAGGCCUUCGGGUCGUAAAGUUCUUUUAGCAGGGAAGAAAAUGACGGUACCUGCAGGAUAAGCACCGGCUAACUUCGUGCCAGCCGCCGCCGUAA
rnacentral:rRNA from 1 species